UGUCAAGUUUUAGAUUUAAGAAUAAGGGAUAUUUUCCUCUGUACUCCUAAAGCCGUCCCACCAGCCCAACGAAGGUUCAGUAUCCCUUACAUUUUAAGACGGGUUUACAAAAAAUCUAAAAUAACCACAUGUGAACCACUUACACACUACAAUUAGAUUAUCAGAAUCUGAACAUGUUGUGGACAUUCCUUCAUGUCAUUCUUUUAAUACAGCCAAAUUAAAAACACUUUUCUAUAUCUUUUUUUUUAAUUUAAGAUUUCAUGUCUUUUUUGUAAUAAAUGCACUCUUUUAUAUGAUAUAUUUUUUAUUUAUUUAAUGGAUUUAAAAUUGAACAAAGAGUGCACAAAUUCUGCAAAAUGAC